AGAUUGAACGCUGGCGGCAGGCCUAACACAUGCAAGUCGAGCGGUAGAGAGGUGCUUGCAUCUCUUGAGAGCGGCGGACGGGUGAGUAAUGCCUAGGAAUCUGCCUAGUGGUGGGGGAUAACGUUCGGAAACGGACGCUAAUACCGCAUACGUCCUACGGGAGAAAGCGGGGGACCUUCGGGCCUCGCGCCAUUAGAUGAGCCUAGGUCGGAUUAGCUAGUUGGUGAGGUAAUGGCUCACCAAGGCGACGAUCCGUAACUGGUCUGAGAGGAUGAUCAGUCACGACUGGAACUGAGACCACGGUCCAGACUCCUACGGGGACGCAGCGAGUUGGGGAAUA
rnacentral:rRNA from 1 species